CAGAGAUAUACAUGCAUUGAAUUCUGCUACACUUUAAACAAAGGAUACAAAUUGCUAAGGAAAGGACAGUCUCAGCCAGCAAUAUCAAUUCUCAGAACCAGAAGAGAAACCCCAGUGCAGCAGGAAUGGAAAUGCAUCAUAUGUUGAAAUCAACUGGAAAUUGAAGCAUUAAAACCACUCUGAUUCCUAUUUGGGUGACUGCCACAUCCCUUUCCACCAAAGAGUUCAUUGGACAUCUCCGGGAUAUUCAGCCACUCCUAUAAAACAGUGACCCCCCUAAAACAAGAAAAACGAUGAAGAUGAACAACCUGAACUGGACUCCUGCCAAGUCCACAAACCGAUUUUGCAAGACCUGACACUUUUGAAGAGUAUUGGACAGCUAUUUUGAAGAAUGUCCUGCAAUUUGGAUCUGCCUAAUGUGUUUCAAUGAAUAAAUGUUACACGUGCAUUGUU